AUUGAACGCUGGCGGCAGGCCUAACACAUGCAAGUCGAACGGUAACAGGAAGAAGCUUGCUUCUUUGCUGACGAGUGGCGGACGGGUGAGUAAUGUCUGGGAAACUGCCUGAUGGAGGGGGAUAACUACUGGAAACGGUAGCUAAUACCGCAUAACGUCUCAAGACCAAAGAGUGGGACCUUCGGGCCUCUUGCCAUCGGAUGUGCCCAGAUGGGAUUAGCUAGUAGGUGGGGUAACGGCUCACCUAGGCGACGAUCCCUAGCUGGUCUGAGAGGAUGACCAGCCACACUGGAACUGAGACACGGUCCAGACUCCUACGGGAGGCAGCAGUGGGGAAUAUUGCACAAUGGGCGCAAGCCUGAUGCAGCCAUGCCGCGUGUAUGAAGAAGGCCUUCGGGCUGUAAAGUACUUUCAGCGGGGAGGAAGGGAGUAAAGUUAAUACCUUUGCUCAUUGACGUUACCCGAAGAAGAAGCACCGGCUAACUCCGUG
rnacentral:rRNA from 1 species